rnacentral:rRNA from 1 species
UACAGAGGUCUCAAGCGUUGUUCGGAUUCAUUGGGCGUAAAGAGCUCGUAGGCGGCUUGUUGCGUCGACUGUGAAAACCCGCGGCUCAACCGCGUGGCUUGCAGUCGAUACGGGCAGGCUAGAAUUCGGUAGGGGAGACUGGAAUUCCUGGUGUAGCGGUGAAAUGCGCAGAUAUCAGGAGGAACACCGGUGGCGAAGGCGGGUCUCUGGGCCGAUAUUGACGCUGAGGAGCGAAAGCGUGGGGAGCGAACAGG